rnacentral:misc_RNA from 1 species
GUAAAUGUAUAUAAUUCUAUAUAUUUAAGUUUCUUUUUACUUCUUCCCUUUCGGUAUUUUAACAAUGUGAGAAUUCUUUUUCUCUCUAAUAUCUAAUAUAAAAGCUAUUUAUAACACAUUCUAACGACAUGCGUAGCAAAGCCAAAGUUGUAGAUUUUUAUGAUUCUUAAUAAAAUAUUUAAUGGUGAAUGAGGCCAUUUAGCUUGAAUUUCUAUGGGAUUAGGGGUGGCCACAGUUCAGGAACCGUCAGUUAUGGUUCCUGAACCGUCGGUUUAGGUUCAAUGAAGUCAUGAACCUGAAUCAAACCGUCAGGGGAUGAUUUGAAAGACGGUUCUUGAACCGCCGGUUCCGGUUCA